GCUCAAAUUUGAAAUCUGGUACCUUCGGUGCCCGAGUUGUAAUUUGGAGAGGGCAACUUUGGGGCCGUUCCUUGUCUAUGUUCCUUGGAACAGGACGUCAUAGAGGGUGAGAAUCCCGUGUGGCGAGGAGUGCGGUUCUUUGUAAAGUGCCUUCGAAGAGUCGAGUUGUUUGGGAAUGCAGCUCUAAGUGGGUGGUAAAUUCCAUCUAAAGCUAAAUAUUGGCGAGAGACCGAUAGCGAACAAGUACAGUGAUGGAAAGAUGAAAAGAACUUUGAAAAGAGAGUGAAAAAGUACGUGAAAUUGUUGAAAGGGAAGGGCAUUUGAUCAGACAUGGUGUUUUGUGCCCUCUGCUCCUUGUGGGUAGGGGAAUCUCGCAUUUCACUGGGCCAGCAUCAGUUUUGGUGGCAGGAUAAAUCCAUAGGAAUGUAGCUUGCCUCGGUAAGUAUUAUAGCCUGUGGGAAUACUGCCAGCUGGGACUGAGGACUGCGACGUAAGUCAAGGAUGCUGGCAUAAUGGUUAUAUGCCGCCCGUCUUGAACCACGGGACC
rnacentral:rRNA from 1 species